rnacentral:rRNA from 1 species
AGUGAACGCUGGCGGUAGGCCUAACACAUGCAAGUCGAACGGCAGCACAGUAUGAGCUUGCUCUUACGGGUGGCGAGUGGCGGACGGGUGAGGAAUACAUCGGAAUCUACUUUUUCGUGGGGGAUAACGUAGGGAAACUUACGCUAAUACCGCAUACGACCUACGGGUGAAAGCAGGGGAUCUUCGGACCUUGCGCGAUUGAAUGAGCCGAUGUCGGAUUAGCUAGUUGGCGGGGUAAAGGCCCACCAAGGCGACGAUCCGUAGCUGGUCUGAGAGGAUGAUCGGCCACACUGGAACUGAGACACGGUCCAGACUCCUACGGGAGGCAGCAGUGGGGAAUAUUGGACAAUGGGCGCAAGCCUGAUCCAGCCAUACCGCGUGGGUGAAGAAGGCCUUCGGGUUGUAAAGCCCUUUUGUUGGGAAAGAAAAGCAGCAGGUUAAUACCCCGCUGUUCUGACGGUACCCAAAGAAUAAGCACCGGCUAACUUCGUG